UACGUAGGGGGCAAGCGUUUGUCCGGAAUCAUUGGGCGUAAAGAGCGUGUAGGCGGCCUGAUAAGUCGGUUGUGAAAGUCAAGGGCUCAACCCUUGAAUGCCGGCCGAUACUGUCAGGCUAGAGUCCGGAAGAGGCGAGUGGAAUUCCUGGUGUAGCGGUGAAAUGCGCAGAUAUCAGGAGGAACACCGAUGGCGAAGGCAGCUCGCUGGGACGGUACUGACGCUGAGACGCGAAAGCGUGGGGAGCGAACAGG
rnacentral:rRNA from 1 species